rnacentral:rRNA from 1 species
CCUACGGGAGUCUGCAGUGGGGAAUAUUGGUCAAUGGCCGGAAGGCUGAACCAGCCAAGUCGCGUGAGGGAAGACGGCCCUACGGGUUGUAAACCUCUUUUGUCAGGGAGCAAGGUGCAGGUCGAGACCUGCUGUGAGAGUACCUGAAGAAAAAGCAUCGGCUAACCCCGUUCCAGCAGCCGCGGGACGACAGAGGAGGCGAGGGUUAUCCGGAUUUAUUGGGUUAAACGGGUGCGCGGGCGGAGGCACAAGUCAGCGGUAAAAUCGCGGGGCUAAACCCGGCUCAGCCGUUGAAACUGUGUCCCUUGAGUGCGAGAAGGGGAGGCGGAAUGCGUGGUGUAGCGGUGAAAUGCAUAGAUAUCACGCAGAACUCCGAUCGCGAAGGCAGCCUACCGGCGCGAAACUGACGCUCAUGCACGAAAGCGUGGGUAGCGAACAGGAUUAGAUACCCUUGUAGUC